UGGCUUCGGCUCGGCUCGGCUCGGCUUAGCUCAGUUCCAGCCGUUACAGUCACUUGGGGAGUGAACCAGAG
ensembl:miRNA